UUUUCUUAAGUCUCCUUCUGACACUUUAACAAGAUAAGCUAUUCCCUGAAGAGAAAAGAGUUGUUUUUAACCUAUGAUGGCCAAUUAAGGAUUUAUAACUUUAAUUUUAAAAUGUUUAAUAAAAGUGAAAAACCCUGUUUUAGUCUAGAGUUAAUGAGAAAAAACAUUUCUGUUUUGGGAGAAAAUAUGAUCAGUCUAGGGGCCGGGUACAAUGGAAGGAUAGAGAUCUCUUGCUUCUGAAAUAAAUUUGCAGAGAUGAAAAAAUGUUCCAUAUUUAUCCCAUUUUCUUGCUCACGUAAAGCAAAUUCAAAUUAUGGUUAAAUUCUGUUAUAAUGAAUAAGGGCCUUAUGUUUCUAUCAAUUUUAGGGAAGUACUGAAGUAUUAGCUAGAAGACUAAAAUCUUGUCAUCAUGCAGAGAUUUAUGUUGCAGAAUUUGCAUUAUAUGUAUGAAAUCCACCUCAGUUUCGGGUCUCUGAUAUAUUAAAAGAUAAUUAACUCAAAAAGUAAUAGAAAAGCUAAACCUUGUAAUUCCUACACAUUUCAAUUGUUGCCCCUUUAGCUUAAGUUUGUCUGAAGAACUGGCAUCAGGAUUGAGGCAACACACAUUUAAAUCUUUCAGGGCCUCUUUAUAUGCAUUCAUCAAAGGAAUUAGUAACUCUAAUAAUUGUAAUAAUUAGUAAUUACCUCAUCACUAAUUUUGACAUUUUCCUUCUUGGCAAUGUCUAGUAAUCGCUGCUGUUGAAUUUUAUCUGACAGAGGCUUGAAGCGGAAUUUUGAACAUCUAGAGGUCAGGGGUUCAAUUAUUCUGUGGAAGAUGAGAAAAACCAAGUUGGUGUCUAAAGAAAGAAUUUCCCCAAAAGAACUCAUUUUUAUCAAGAACAAAUCAAGAUUUGAUGGAGGAAAAAUUAAUGUAGCCUUGAAAAUCCUAAAUUUCCUUUCCCUAAUUGGGUUAUGAAAAUAAGGCUGCCUAGCAUCUGUCUUCAGGGCAAUAUACAUACCGACUGACAUAGUUACAGAUAAGACAGAAUCGGGUGGUUUUCGACUCCUUCUCCAUGGUACGUCUUAAAGCUGCCUGAGCAGCUGAGGUCAUAGAAUCUGCUUCAUCCAGAAUCACAAUCUUAAAAGGCGGACACGGCUUCCCACUGAUUCAGAGAAACACAUAAGAGUUGAACAUUAAUAUGUAUAUUGGUUUUAACAGCUUUGUUGAAAGAUACACGUACCAUACAAUUCACCCAUUUAAAAUGUACAAUUCAGUGUUUUUCUGUAUGUUCACAAAGUUGUGCAACCAUUACCACAAUCUAAUUUUAGAACAUUUUUAUCACUCCUAAAAGAAACUUUGUACCUAUUAGGAGUCACUCUUCUUCCCCCAGUCAUUCCCAGCUCUAGGCAAUCAUUAGUCUACUUUCAUCUCUAUAGAUUUGCCUAUUCUGGACAUGAUAUGAAUGGAACAUAUAAUAUGCAGUCUUUUGUGGCUGACUUCUUCCACUUAACAUAUUUUAAAGGUUCAUCCAUAUUGUAGCAUGUGUUUGCGUCAUUCCUUUGUAUUGUCAAAUACUAUGGCAAAUAGAUACACCACAUUUAUUCAUCCAUUAAUCGGUUGGACAUUUGGGCUGUUUCCAUGUUUUGGCUAUUAAGAAUAAUGCUGCUGUGAACAUUUGUGUACAUGUUUUUGAGCAGACAUGUCUUCCAAGAGGCUGUACCAUUUUACAUUCCAACCAGCAAUGUAUGCGGUUUACCAUUUCUCCACAUCCUUGUCAAUGCUAGUUAUUUUCUGUAUUUUUUAUCAUAGCCAUCCUAGUGGGAGUUACGUGGUAUUUCAAUGUGGCUUUGAUUUUCAUUUCCCAAAUGGAUAAUGAUGUUGAUGAGCAUCUUUUAAUGUGCUUAUUACACAUGCACGAAAUGUCUAUGCAGAUCCUUUGCCUUUUUUUUUUUUUUGAGAUAGAGUCUUGCUCUGUCGCCCAGGCUGGAGUGCAGUGGUGCGAUCUUGGCUCACUGCAAGCUCUGCCUCCUGGGUUCACGCCAUACUCCUGCCUCAGCCUCCCGAGUAGCUGGGACUACAGGCGCCCGCCACCACACCCAGCUAAUUUUUUGUAUUUUUAGUAGAGAUGGGGUUUCACCAUGUUCGCCAGGAUGGUCUCGAUCUCCUGACCUUGUGAUCCACCUGCCUCGGCCUCCCAAAGUGCUGGGAUUACAGGUGUGAACCACUGCGCCCGGCCUUUGCCCAUUUUUUAAUUGGGUUAUUUGUUUUUAUUACUGAGUUUUUAAAGUUCUUCAUAUGUUCUAGAUAUAAGUACCUUUUUAGGUAUAUGAUUUGUAAAUAUUUUCUCCCACGUUGCGGGUUAUUACCUUCUGUACAUUGAUUUUUGGUAAUCUGCCAUUAAAGUUUUUCUCCCACCAAAAGUGGCAUUAACAUAAUUGUAUGAAAAUUAUACCAAGAAAACAGAUUUCAAGUAUUAAUGGUAGAAGGGAUCUCAGAGUCUUUUAGUCCACCUCCCAGUCUUCAUUUCACAUAAAAAUACAUUAGGUGCUAUAGCGGUUGUGACUGACUGCACCAUCAAUUUAAGGUGCAUAUCAAAAAUUAGUCAUUCACUUUCACAAAUUUUGAAAUGUGCUCAUGUAAAAUUUACACAUAUGUCUAGGUACCACCAAUGUAAUCCUGGACCUUUGCCACCUAAGGAGCAUAAGUAGUUGAUUAAAUCCCUGUUUACCUCAGGCAGGAUAGUCUUCUAACAUGAAAAGUUGACAAUUUGGCAGAAAUACACUUGAUCUUAGCCAAAAGGCUGAGGAGCGAUGGCAGAAAUACAUAUUUAAAAUAAUACAUGCUAUGGAGGAGGGAGGGCAAAUUUACUUACUCUGAGCGACUUCCUGACACAGUUAAUUGAGCAAAAUUUUUCACUUUCUCUCGAACUACUUGUAUUCCACGUUCAUCAGAUGCAUUUAACUCAAGAACUCUUAAUCGGAAAAGUUCAGGCCUAUCUCAAAAUGAAACAAAUAUGAAACAUAGAGCACAAGUAGGCUUAAAUCACAUUUUAACAUUUGCACACUUUGCAGACGUUUAAAAUCCACCUAGUAAACAACAUGGAUAGAAGGCACACAAUCACUUUUGCAUUCUCGCUUCAGCAGAGUGCUGCAGUUAACAUUUUGGCUUUUUUCCAUGCAUUUAAAAAAAUGUAGACAUUACAUAACAUAUACAAUUUCUUUUCUUUUUAUUUUUUUGGAGACAAGGUCUUGCUCUGUCACUCAGGCUGGAGAACAGUGGCAUGAUGAUGGCUCACUGCAGCCUUGAACUCCUGGGCUCAAAUGAUCCUCCCACCUUAGCUUCCCAACUAGCUGGGACUAUAGGCACAUGCCAUCACACCUGGCUAAUUUUGUUUACUUUUUGUAGAGGCAGGGACUCAUUAUGUGGCCAGGCUGGUCUCAGGUGAUCCUUCCACCUUGGCCUCCCAAAAUGUUGGGAUUACAGGUGUGAGGCACCACACCUGGCCCCACAUAUAAAAUUUUAAAUCGAUUUUCCACUUUGCAUUUAUAAUAAGUAUCUUGGCAUAUUAUCAAAACCACUGUAAAUAACAUUUUAAUAGUCAUAUGAUAUUCCAUCCUAUGACUGUACCAUCAUUUACUUCACAUUCUUCUAUUGUUAGACAUCUAGAUAGUUUUAAAUACUGUAAUUUUAAAUAAUGUUAUAAUAUAGCACAUUUUAAAUUAUUUCCGGCCGGAUGUGGUGGAUUUCAGAUAUUUCUAUCAGUUGUAUGUCUGAUAUUAAUUCUGGAUAAACUCAAAACAGCCUUUGUUAUGUUGGUGCAUGUUUCAUGUAUAUCAGACCCAGCCCACUACACAUCUUUUAACUCUAGGUAAAGGGCUCCUCUAGAAUGGCUGGUUAAGCCAAGAUGGUCAAUCUAGGAAGAGGAACAUAAGAAGGUGACUCACAGGAAGAUUUUCUGGUGUACCUGGAAUCACACUACAUCAACCAUCACUUGUGCUCAGGAGACCUGAGGCAAGGAGCUGGACUGGCCACUCCAGAGUCAGAGCCUAGGAAGUCCAGAGCAGGACUCAAGAAUGGAUGGUGCAAAUAGUGCCAUCAGAAACAGCAGAUUCUAUCAUGUAGCCACACAGAUGUGAACACAAUCAUUAAGAGGGUGAUAAAACUAUCAGCACAACUGGACAUUAAGUUGGGCCCUCUGGACUCCAAAGUUAUAAUGGAAAAUUUAAAGAAAGUGAUGGAAAAAAUCAUAGGCUCCCCACACUUGAACAAGAUUCACAAUGAAGGUCACAAAAGACGCAGGCAAGCUGAUUUCUUCAGGGGAGUGAGGGAGGAACAAAAUGGCUCAUGGGAUUUUUAAAAAUCAGAAAUAGAAAACUAUCCUACAGAAAACGAAACGCAAAUUUUUAGAGGAAAAAAAGCAAUAUCAGAGAAUUUUGGUGUCAAAUCUUUAAAAAAAGAAAAACAGACUGAUUUCAACGUACCCAAAGAGUUCUCUAGCUGCUGCCAAAAUAGUGGAUGUUUUUCCAGUUCCAGGUGGUCCGUAAAACAAGAGAUUAGGAAGCUGUAGAAAUUAAAUUUUAUUUUUAAUAAAUGGUAUUCUGGCACAAAUAGAUGAAAAGGAAGAUCGAAAAAAAUGUCUGUGGAAUAGUGCAAUGACUUCUCUAAUAGGGCACGUAAUUUCUAAGUAUAAAGUUUUCUUAAUAUAACUGAUAUCAUAGUACUGACAGAUUUAAAUCCUGCUUUUUCAUAUACUACCACUUUUUUCCCCAAGUGUCUUUUUAAUCUCUUAAGCUGAACCAAUAUUUAUGCUUGCUCUAUAGCUAAUCCACUUAGGUGAAAUUUUCAAAGCUGGAAUGAGAAACCUUUUAUUUCUAAAGGGAAUCUCAGUUUCCUAUCCCACCUCUAUGCUCAAGAUUAGGUAAGAUUUUAUAUUACACAAAAUGUCAGCUGCUUCAAAGGGGAAGCAGACCAAAAGAGUAAUGGGAUUUGGCCAAAACUGAGGAAAAAGGACUAAAAAAGACAUAAUUAGGGCUUUGGAUGAGCAGAAGUACCAAGAACAGAAAUAUUAACAAAAAAUCCAAAACUAGAUAUAUAUUAAGUACUAGGCACUGCUCCACAUCAUGAUUAUGCACUCUGUAAGGAUGCUUGCAUGUAUCAGGGAGAAUUCAUUAGAAGAGGAAAGGAUAAAAUUAAAUCACUAGCUACCUUCUUUUAUACCUUGUAUCUAGCUAGUUUGGCUCCUAUCAAGCAGUCGACUGAUCCGUGGUGAAAAUUAAUAAGUCAACUAAAUUCUAAUGAGCUCUGUUAUGAUACUGUGCAAUCUUCAGUAUGUCCUGUCACAUAAGGAAAUCAGUGUACACAGGAAACUAGGCAUUAGAGUUUGUUUCCACUCUUGCCUAACCCUCCCUCUUCCUGUCCAUUCAUUCUUCACCUAAAUCAGAUACCACUCUGCUUGCUACUUAAAACUAUUCCACUUAGAAAAACAAAAACAAACCAAAAAACCCUCAGCUUUUUACCAUGGCCUAAAGGACUUCCAUGAUCUGCCUACCACCUCCUUCACCUUCCAGGCUCUAGCUUACAAUGGCUUCUAACAGCUUGGCACUUUCUGGCCCGAACAUAUGUUGCUCCCAUGACCUGGAGUCUGAUCCUCUUCUUUCUGCCUGGCCAACUCCUAAUGCAUUACAAAUCAGAAACCAUUCAGUCUAAAGUAGGUCUCCUCUCCUAUUCUCUCAUUAGUGUUUGUUGCAUUUUGCAUUGGUUUAUUGUUAUUUCACUGUGGGGCUUAAUUGUAAAAUGCCUGUCUACUUCAUUAAAAGACCAAGAACCUUAUUUGUUCUAUUCACAUCUGUAUUCUAGCAUCUACUACAGUAGUCAAUGUUGGCCAAAUGAAUGAAUAAACCAAUACAUAGACAAAUAUGUUAAUUAGAAGACUAUUACUGUUACAUUCAUAACAUAUAGCUUACAGAACAAACUAUGAGAUUCAUAACUUAAAAACCUCCCAGGCUUCUUAGUAAUUAAGGUCUACAACUAUUAUUUUGAUCUGUGCAUCCCUUAACAAUGUAACGAUUCAUCCAGGUUAACUAUCAGAUACAAUAAUUUAAAUUCUUUGAAACAGGGUAAAAUUAUUAAACCUUAAUUAUACACUAGUCUAAUAUAUGUAGUACAUUCAAGAACUGUAUGUGGAAUACCAGUUCUUAAAAUCAAUUUCUGAAAAAAUUAUCUUCUUAUAAUUCUUUAAAACCUUUCAAAAUAAAUUGAAUGAAUUGUUUUCCUUUACUCUUUUGAAUUAAAAAAACUAUUUCACCUCUUUACAAAACUUAGUCUGAAAAGGUGCACAAAAUAUUAAACUGAAGUUCUUACUUCAGCCUCAUAAAUUACGUGGCAUAAAGUCAAGAACUAGAUCUUAGGCUGG
rnacentral:lncRNA from 1 species